GGGUCGAUGAAGAACGCAGCUAGCUACGAUAAUCGGUGCGAAUCGCAAGAUACGCCGAGCACUUGAACUUCCAACGCACAUUGCGACUUUCGGUUUACUCCGAAGUCACAUCUGUCUGAGAGUUGAGAAGUAAAAAUAUCAAAAACUACACUUGACAGGGCUAACGUCCCACCCUUCAAGAGACUGUAGUGGUGUGUUACCUGUAGACUACGUCCCAUACAGUGUACACACCAAUUGAUAUUCUAUUCCUUUUCUUGGUUUGCAAAAGCCUAGUAAGGAGUUGCAUCAUGUGUAAAAUACUGAUGCUUCUGUGUUGUGCUUGAGAGGUGCACAGGCAACAGAGAUAGAGACGAAAACACACAUUAUACUGGCAGGGGAUCCUGAGAAUUGGCCCGUCAAUCUGCCGUCGCUACAGACGAACAGCGGAUACCAUGACCAUAUGAAAAGGGCUUCUCGCUUGCGUGGAUCUCGUUUGCACUCUAAGGUGUAUUGUGUGUGUGUGUGUAGAAAGUCACUACUGUUGACCCUUCCUCUUAUAGUCGCAUUCCAGUAAACCUCUACCCUUUGAUCUCAGAUCAGGUGAGGUUACCCGCUGAAUUUAAGCAUAU
rnacentral:misc_RNA from 1 species